rnacentral:rRNA from 1 species
AGCGAACGCUGGCGGCAGGCCUAACACAUGCAAGUCGAACGAACCUUUCGGGGUUAGUGGCGGACGGGUGAGUAACACGUGGGAACGUGCCUUUAGGUUCGGAAUAACUCAGGGAAACUUGUGCUAAUACCGAAUGUGCCCUUCGGGGGAAAGAUUUAUCGCCUUUAGAGCGGCCCGCGUCUGAUUAGAUAGUUGGUUGAGGUAAUGGCUCACCAAGGCGACGAUCAGUAGCUGGUCUGAGAGGAUGAUCAGCCACAUUGGGACUGAGACACGGCCCAAACUCCUACGGGAGGCAGCAGUGGGGAAUCUUGCGCAAUGGGCGAAAGCCUGACGCAGCCAUGCCGCGUGAAUGAUGAAGGUCUUAGGAUUGUAAAAUUCUUUCACCGGGGACGAUAAUGACGGUACCCGGAGAAGAAGCCCCGGCUAACUUCGUG